UACGGGGGGGGGCAAGCGUUGUUCGGAAUUACUGGGCGUAAAGGGCUCGUAGGCGGCCAACUAAGUCGGACGUGAAAUCCCUCGGCUUAACCGGGGAACUGCGUCCGAUACUGGAUGGCUUGAGUUCGGGAGAGGGAUGCGGAAUUCCAGGUGUAGCGGUGAAAUGCGUAGAUAUCUGGAGGAACACCGGUGGCGAAGGCGGCAUCCUGGACCGGCAUUGACGCUGAGGCGCGAAAAGCCAGGGGAGCAAACGGG
rnacentral:rRNA from 1 species